rnacentral:misc_RNA from 1 species
UGUUUUCGCUGCUUGCCGCACACGUGGCGUGCACUGUGCACACCCUUGAAUCCCUUUCCCCUUGCCCAGCGCCGCUUCGAGUCAAAGGCGUUCGCACGCCACGUAGAGGCGCCUGCACGCCAGAGGCGCUCGAUUAUCGGUUCACUGUACGGGCUUCCACACGUAGAAGCACACGCAUACGCACCCGUAUCCCGACCCUCUCCAGUGAUGUCAUGCCUGCGGCGGUUCCAGUACGCACUCCGCCGUACCUUGUGGAUGUGGCCGCGAACCUGACCGACUGUGUUUUUCGCGGGGUGGACUGGAAGGGCAACCGCCUUCACGACGACGACUUCGACUACGUUUUGGUCCGCGCGCAGGAGCGCAAUGUGCAGCAGAUCAUAAUCACCGGCACCAGCCUUGCCCAGAGCGUCAAGGCCAUCGCGCUCUGUCGGCGAUACCCCGAUCGGCGGCUGCUGUGCACCGUUGGGGUGCACCCGGCGCACUGUGGCGAGUUUCUCCGUCCUCUGGACCGCGACGAAGUGCAACGGGUCGCCGAAAGCGCCGCGUCGGUGGUGAUGCCACACCACGAGAGGCCAGCGGCCGCGAUGACGGCGGAGCAGGAGGAAGCGUGGGCACAGGAGCGCUUAGAUUACUUGGUGGACCUCGCGACUAGAAAUCGCGACGUGGUUGUGGCGAUGGGCGAGAUCGGCAUCGACUAUGCCGAGGUCGCCUGCUGCCCGCGUGAGGUACAGGAGAAGUACUUUGCACGCCAGCUCGCUGCUUUUGCGCCGCUGCAGCUGCCCUUCCUCUUCCACUCACGCGCGUGCGGCAUGAAGUUUGUGUCCCACCUGCAAGACACAUGGGCGCGCAUCGCCUCUGAUGCAGCCGCAACUGAGGCAGUGGCUGAUAAUGCAGACGCCUCCGCACCGCUGCCCCAUGCGCAGUUGCGCGGCGUCGUGCACAGCUUUAACGGCACACUGGAGGAGCAGGAGGCACUGCUGUCGAUGGGGCUGUACUUGAGCCUGAACUGCAGCGCCUUCCGAGAGGCAUCCCUGGCCGCGCAGGUAGCUCUGAUUCCGCUGAGUCGGCUAAUGUUCGAGACGGACGCCCCGUGGUGCGACGUGCGGUCGAAGGACUACGGCGCGCAGUUUGUGCGCACCGUCUUCAAGACGAUCAAGCGCAAGAAGCCGUUUGAGAUGGGCGCCUGCCUGGAGCGGCGCAACGAGCCUUGCCAUCUCGUUCAGGUCAUGGAGGAGUAUCUCGGCUGCGCGAAGGCGUCAGCCACUUCACCGGAGGAUCCGUUGUCAAGGAUGGAUGAGGCGACUCUGGUUGCUGCCGUGUAUGAGAACUGCAAACGUCUUUUCCACCUGUGACCUCUGGGACUCCGUGAUGCUCAAGAUGAGGGAAGUCUUGUGUGUGUGUUUGUGCGCGUGUGUGCCACCUCUGCACACCUCUUCCUCACGUAAGCAAACGCAUCGCGAGCACGUAUAAGGGAAAGAGAAGACAACUCCGCCAGCUCAGUCAGCAGGAGUGGACAGCGAUCAAGAGGGGGAGAGCUGAGCAACGCGCGCUCAUCGUACACGGCGCGCAUAACCCAUUCGAUGUAUGCGUGAAGACUAGGGUUACUGUCUGCGGAGAGUGAUGCAGGGACUCAGGCUUGUGAUCGACGAUCAAAC